CUGCCCCGCGCCCGGCCGGAGCCCGAGUCCCUCUCGUCCCGCCGAAGCCGAAGCUUAACAAAUGAUGUAAGGAAGAUGGAUACCACGCUUCUUAUUCAGUCCAUCCUAAGGAGCAGCAUGCUUAGAAGAGACAGGUUCAUCCUCAUUUUCAUGGAGACGUUUUCUCGUAGCAAUUGGCUAAAGGAAAGAUGCAGCAUGAUGGCUACAUUAAUCAGGUAAGACAGAGCCUGACUGUUUUGUCUACUGCAGAAUUACAGAUGCUGGAUAAAGUCUCCCUCCUGUAACUGAAACAGCAGCAUGACUAAUGAGUGUUUCUCUCCAGUGAUCUAAUGGCAAGUGAUCCUUCUCAUGUAAGACACUGCCCUUACUCCCUUUUCUGUUUCAGCCUCUCCCAGCUUUGACUACUGUUUAAAAUAAUGCUAAUUGCUAUCUAAUAAUUAAUAUCACAAUACCACUUCUAAGCUUUUAAUGCCAUAAGAAUUUUCCUUUGAAUAUUACAUGUUCAUGACUCAAAUCCAUCAAAACAUACAUACUCACAUACAGAACUUUAAAUAUAUGGAUAGUCUUUUAAAACCUAAGAGACAGUUUGUUUACAUUCAAAGUGUCUUGCCAAAGCACAAAAGUAAACUCCUUCUACUAAGACUGCAGGAAAGAAUUAGUGGACUGCUGCAUAAAGGCAGAAAGUACACUUCUAUACUAAAUUAUCAGGAUUACAUUUUCUUAUUAGGGUUUACUUUUAAAUCUAGCUUUGGCACCAAGUAUUAAUCUUCACAUAAUCUGUCAUUCAUACCAUUUUUGAUGUUUGUGGUGGAUUCAUAGUGGCACUUGUCUGAGCAAGUAGUUGUUGAAAUGUAUUUUUCAUAUCCUCAUCCUGUUAAAAGUAAAAAAAAAAAAAAGGAUCAGCCUUAAAUACUAUAUGGAAUGUUUAAGGUGGACCAGCAAUUGUGGAAUGAAUAAAGGAGAAAAGGACAUAACUUUUCCCCUCACCAUUAGAAAAAUAAAACAUGUAGUGCUAGGAGAAAGGAGCUGAAAUGACAGUCCCAGAUUGCUAUAAAACACUGCACAGUGUCACAAUUCCUUCUCUAAGGUUUCCAACAUCAGGCCCAGUGAAAGAAGAGGUGAAUCUAUGCUUAACAGGACACAACUGAGACACAGACUUAGGAAACACCACUUUACAGCAAAUAGGUUACAUUUUAUCAGGGCGUCGGUCCUUGGAAACAUCGGCUCUAUUCCCCAACCAAAAUCUGGAAUGUGUCACUUCUGGCAAAUAACGUCGUAACAAACAGAAAAUUCCAGAAUAAACACCUCAAGGACCUCCAACAGCUACAGUUAAACUGAUCCAACCUUCCUUCAUCCCUCCCAUUGGCCCCCAAAAUUAACAUCAUCCUAACCUGUCCCAGAGAAUUUUCAGCAGCUGGUUUAUGUACAGCGUUGGUAAGGACAAAAACAGCUCUACUUCGUUCUACAAAUACAUUAUUUCCCUCUCUAAGUACUUAGCUAAUACCAGUCAAGCAAAAACUGAAAUAAUAAUACCAUGCAAUGAAGUGCAACAAUACUGAAAGAACACAGCAUGCAGGGCUAGGUGUUUGUGCAGAUAAUUCACUGGUCAGUUUUAUCAGGAGGCCUCAUCAGGGCUUGGGACCCAGCUUUCAUCAAAAUCAAGUUCCUCGCUCUUGAAAAACAAGUAUUUUCUUACAUUUCAUUUUCAUAAUGACUUCCAUUCCUACCAGAAUAUUUUCAUUUCCACCAGCUUAGCAUCAUCUCAACGUGCAGUUUUUAAUCACGUCUCCAACCCACCAUCAUCCUUCCAAACAAUCUAUUGUGUACUCUAAGUAGAGAAGAACCAGCUAAAACAUCCAUACUAAAAUGACAGGAACAACCUCUACUUUUAAAACACCCCACCAUUAUCUCUACCUUAAGUCCAUUUAUCAAAGGUUGUAAAUGGAAGGUUUCACUUUUAAAAACCCAAAUGAUUGUUAACAAAUAUUUCUUAUUCAUAGGCUAUGCACAUUGCUACACUGUUCCCUACCAUAACAAGUUCACUGGAUUAUACAGUUCAUCCUCUACCAGAAGUGCCCACGAAGAGAAGCAGCUUGAAGAGUGACUCCUGAAUGCUAGAUGACAUACAGAUUUACAGGUAAAAUGCUGUAUAAAACUUCUUGUCCUGUCUUCAAAACCAAACAUAUCAGUAAGAGCUGCCCCUAAAGAGUACAUAUAGUCAAGAGGCUCCGAGCUUCACUUCACAUACUGACAGAUCUCAGUCUUGUGUAAAUCGCUGUCAUAUACUUCCCUCUUUCCCAUAAUGCAUAUCAGUGAUUCUUAAAAUCAGUAUAUCGUGGUUUGUCAGUAACUUACCCUGCUCAGCAUUAUAAUCAAAAUGUAAGAAGCUACAGCCAAUUAACCCACUGCAGAAAUUAUGCACAAAACUACAGUAGUAAAAGCCAGGAAAGGUAGAAAGUAUUUCUGGAUGCCCAACAACUGAGUUACUUACAAACAAUUACCCAACUGAAUAUUCUGUCUCAGUAAGUAGCAGCUGCUGAUUUGAGUGAUUCUCCCUUGCUUCAGCCUAUGUGGGGGGCAUACAAUGUCACAGGAGCUACAGUUCUAUGAGAUAGUUAAGCUACAGAGGUCAUAGAAUGUUUUGAGUUGGAAGGAACCCUUGGAGGUCCAUCAAGUCCAACUCCCCUGCAACGAACAGGGACGUCUGCAGCUACAUGAAGUAAUAUUCAGGUAAUAAAGAGAAAACUGAACAGACAUAAAAUUAAGCAUAGUGUGGUUACUUUGGAGAAGACAGGAAUAAAUAAUUCCUUUCUCUCUCUGGCAGAAGUAUAUGAUUUGGAAGGAUUUGGAAGGAUUUGUGGUGUACUCAUGACAAGGUGGAAUACCUGUGGUGUACUCAUGGCUCUGCGUUGUCAAAGGCAGACGAAGGAGAAGUCAAAUUAGAAGCAGAAAUUAAGCAAAGAGGUGUUUAUGAUGGGAAAGGCACUGAACAGCAUCAAGCAAGGCUAUAAGACUAGGAACAGCAGCAACAACAGUAGAAAAAGAACAUGGAACUGAGAAAAUUGAGAAAUCAUACAUACCAUGGGAGGGGGUAAGAGCUAACAAAGACUCUGUGAGGGCCAGUGGCCAAGAAGACAAGCACAAUGAAAAACAGCAGGGGGCCUAGCUGACUUUGCAAGAAUUUAAAAUAAGGAAAACAGGAAAAAAUGAGAAUCUCCAUGCUGUAGAGAGAGCAUUUGUUGGGACAGCAGUGAAGCAGGUUUGCUCUGUACACCGCAAGAAAGUCCUUGGCACACAACUAGGUACUGCAUGGUCAUCUUGCUUGCAGCAGCAAUCUCUUCAAAAUGUUCACUCUGGUUUCAAAUUGUUCAACAGGAAAGUUGUGACUACUGGCAUCUGGGCUAAUGUCAUUCUACAGAUUGGGAUCUGAUGGCUCAUUUUCCCAUAUGUCAUUCACAAUGCCAGUAAAAGAAAUGAACAAGUCACAGACACACAGUAUGCUCCUCCCUUCUCAUCUCCCUGCAAAUAGGUAUCAGGAUCCCUGCAGUCUUACAGCAGCCAGCAGAAACAGUGGGGCCAGCUGGCAGGCAGCAGCACCUGCCCAUGAGAAGCACAACGUGGCAGCUGCUCUUCUGCUGGCUGCUGUCAGGGGCAGCCUACAAACCAGUGGAUGGAAGCUCUGCCUUAAGGAAACUGCUGUUAUUCCCUAGAAGCUGCAGAACUGAAGCUCUCCUUUCUCAUCACCUUUUCUGGCAUUCUCCACAGAUGCAGGAUUGGGUACACAGAGAUCUCUGGUGACCAGGGCAGUCACAGUUUCUCUGCUUCUUUGCAAAAGCAAAACCUCAUGAAACUCAAGUUAUUGAAUGGCCUUUGAAUUUAUAUCAAGAAAUUAUCUCCAGAACAGCUCAUCAUGGCUGUACUUAACAAACUCAAUUCCUACCUGAAGCCAGGGAUGCUCUAAGGCUUCCUCUAUCGUAAAACGUUUGCUUGGAUCCACUACCAACAGCUUCUUCACAAGAUCCAGAGCUAAGAUAAUAAGAGUUAAGCAAUCAGCUACUUAAAAAAUGCAAACAGAUCAACAUGCAAUGUACCACAAAAAUGAAAACUGAAAGGAAGUUAAAACAAAAGAAAAGAUCUAGAUAUUCUGCUACCUAUAUAAAGGAGUCAUACCCA